rnacentral:tRNA from 2 species
GCGGACGUGGCGAAAUUGGCAGACGCACCAGACUUAGGAUCUGGCGGGUAAUUCCGUGAGAGUUCAAGUCUCUCCGUCCGCA